CCUACGAGUGGCAGCAGUGGGGAAUAUUGCACAAUGGGCGCCACCCUUAUGCAGCGAUGCCGCGUGUAUGAAGAAGUAUUUCGGUUUGUAAAGCUCUAUCAGCAGGGACGCAAGUGACAGUGCCUGUUUCCUUAGCCCUUGCUAACUACGUCACAGCAGCCGCGGUAAUACGGAGGGGGGAAACGUUAUCCGGAUUUACUGGGUGUAACGUUAACGUAGACGGCCGGGACAUUCGGAAGUGAAAUUCCCGGGCUUAAACCCGGAACUGCUUUUGAAACUGGGCAGCUAGAGUGGCGGAGAGGUAGGUGGAAUGCCUAGUGUAGCGGUGAAAUGCGUAGAGAUGAGGAGGAACACCAGUGGCGAAGGCGGCCCACUGGACAGAAACUGACGCUGAGGUGCGAAAGCGUGGGGAGCAAACAGGAUUAGAUACCCGAGUAGUC
rnacentral:rRNA from 1 species